GAAGAAAGAAAAAGAUGUUUAUAAAAAAAACUAAGUGUAACGAAUGAUGGAGGCGCUUCCUCUGAGAUUUGAGAGGGUUGGGUCCUGUUGCACAGCCGUACAAAAACUAAACUUUUUUAUUUUUGCCCGUAACUACAGCACCUACUGAUUUUUCUUCAGUCAGCGCUUUUCUACUAUUAAACAGGUGUGGCUCGGUAAAGCUGAGGAUUGUUGCGAAAGAAAACAAUAGCGGGACGGUAUCGUGUGUUUGGUCUCCUUUUGAUCUGUUUCCAUCAGCGGUGGAGUUUAAAGCACUUUUACUCGCACCCAGAGGGUGGUGUAUGCGCGUUGAUGCCUUGAAGGCUGGUAACUUCACCUCGACCGCACGAUUGUCUGCGAGCAUGAGUGGACCCGGGAGUUCACAGUGAGCCGCCUCAAUGCCGGAAUUGGAACAAUUUGAUGUGAGGAAGACAAUCCUGACCUGGAUGGGCCACUUCUUCAACCACGUUCAGAGGCGGCUGCAUUACAUCCACAGCCACCACUUCCACCACUGGCCAAGGGCCCACCAGCCCCAGACAAAGUGAUUCUACCCAGAUCUGCCUACUUAAGCAGGUCACACCACCUACUGCAACUCGCAUGUGCCAACAAGAACAGCAGGAGCUGAAGCCAACUCCAGCUGACACUAGGGAAGUUUAAGCUCUAGAAGAAAUGGAUAUUAAAGGACACUUUCCGAGCAUGAUCACAAUGUACACAAAGUAACAGGGCCUGACGGUCACCAAUGUAAAUACACCGCCUGUGGACACUGAAAGACAAUAAACAUGCUCAUGAUCACCUCUCUGAUCAGAGAGAGGCCAGAGGGAAAAAGUUUGGCAUGGAGAUGAAGUUUGCAAAGUAUUUUGCCCCACCUCACUUGAACUGGCUCCUGUUGGUAAGGAAAUAAGGGGCUGAUAUUGAAUUAAGUAUGACUGGACUGGUGAUAAU